GCUCACAGAUUUCUGGGUCUUCUUUAUGAAUUGGAAGAAAACACAGACAAAGCCGUUGAAUGUUACAGGCGUUCAGUGGAAUUAAACCCAACACAAAAAGAUCUUGUGUUGAAGAUUGCAGAAUUGCUUUGUAAAAAUGAUGUUACUGAUGGAAGAGCAAAAUACUGGCUUGAAAGAGCAGCCAAACUUUUCCCAGGAAGUCCUGCAAUUUAUAAACUAAAGGUAAACAAACAAAACAUAAAGGGAGAAAACUUAAGACAUAACCAUUUCUAAUAUUUGGAAUUUAAAUUACUUUUCAAUAGCAAACCUUAAGCCCAGGUGUUAGUGUUUCCUUUAAAAAUUUUCUUUUAAAAAGUGUGUUAAAACCUUUCUGAGCAUCUACUGUCUUAUUAGGCAUUGUUAUACUUUAUAAGUGACAUCUCAUUUACCUUUCUGGAAUAAUUAAUAUUUUAGGGAUUUUACAGUUUAGUAGCUGUAAACUAAGUAGAGCUAAGAUUUACAUUAAGUUCCGUCUGGUAUACAAUUUUUGCUUCAUUAAGUGAAAAUUACCUACAGGAUGACAAUUUAGGGAUAUUUUAAAGAAGUGUUUUCUAAUAACUAUUGUCUGAAAGUAGAAGGGAUUGCAUUUUGAGAUAGUAAGGUUUUC
rnacentral:lncRNA from 1 species